rnacentral:rRNA from 1 species
UACGAAGGGGGCUAGCGUUGCUCGGAAUCACUGGGCGUAAAGCGCACGUAGGCGGAUUGUUAAGUCAGGGGUGAAAUCCUGGAGCUCAACUCCAGAACUGCCUUUGAUACUGGCGAUCUCGAGUCCGGGAGAGGUGAGUGGAACUGCGAGUGUAGAGGUGAAAUUCGUAGAUAUUCGCAAGAACACCAGUGGCGAAGGCGGCUCACUGGCCCGGUACUGACGCUGAGGUGCGAAAGCUAGGGGAGCGAACGGG